rnacentral:rRNA from 1 species
CACGUAGGGGCCAAGCGUUGUCCGGAUUUACUGGGCGUAAAGAGCUCGUAGGCGGUCUGUCGCGUCGGCUGUGAAAACUCGGGGCUCAACCCCGAGCCUGCAGUCGAUACGGGCAGACUAGAGUGCGGUAGGGGGAGACUGGAAUUCCUGGUGUAGCGGUGAAAUGCGCAGAUAUCAGGAGGAACACCGGUGGCGAAGGCGGGGUCUCUGGGCCGUAACUGACGCUGAGGAGCGAAAGCGUGGGGGAGCAAACAGG